GAGUUUGAUCAUGGCUCAGAUUGAACGCUGGCGGCAGGCCUAACACAUGCAAGUCGAGCGGUAGCACAGAGAGCUUGCUCUCGGGUGACGAGCGGCGGACGGGUGAGUAAUGUCUGGGAAACUGCCUGAUGGAGGGGGAUAACUACUGGAAACGGUAGCUAAUACCGCAUAAUGUCGCAAGACCAAAGUGGGGGACCUUCGGGCCUCAUGCCAUCAGAUGUGCCCAGAUGGGAUUAGCUAGUAGGUGGGGUAACGGCUCACCUAGGCGACGAUCCCUAGCUGGUCUGAGAGGAUGACCAGCCACACUGGAACUGAGACACGGUCCAGACUCCUACGGGAGGCAGCAGUGGGGAAUAUUGCACAAUGGGCGCAAGCCUGAUGCAGCCAUGCCGCGUGUGUGAAGAAGGCCUUCGGGUUGUAAAGCACUUUCAGCGGGGAGGAAGGCGUUAAGGUUAAUAACCUUGUCGAUUGACGUUACCCGCAGAAGAAGCACCGGCUAACUCCGUGCCAGCAGCCGCGGUAAUACGGAGGGUGCAAGCGUUAAUCGGAAUUACUGGGCGUAAAGCGCACGCAGGCGGUCUGUCAAGUCGGAUGUGAAAUCCCCGGGCUCAACCUGGGAACUGCAUUCGAAACUGGCAGGCUAGAGUCUUGUAGAGGGGGGUAGAAUUCCAGGUGUAGCGGUGAAAUGCGUAGAGAUCUGGAGGAAUACCGGUGGCGAAGGCGGCCCCCUGGACAAAGACUGACGCUCAGGUGCGAAAGCGUGGGGAGCAAACAGGAUUAGAUACCCUGGUAGUCCACGCCGUAAACGAUGUCGAUUUGGAGGUUGUGCCCUUGAGGCGUGGCUUCCGGAGCUAACGCGUUAAAUCGACCGCCUGGGGAGUACGGCCGCAAGGUUAAAACUCAAAUGAAUUGACGGGGGCCCGCACAAGCGGUGGAGCAUGUGGUUUAAUUCGAUGCAACGCGAAGAACCUUACCUGGUCUUGACAUCCACAGAACUUACCAGAGAUGCUUUGGUGCCUUCGGGAACUGUGAGACAGGUGCUGCAUGGCUGUCGUCAGCUCGUGUUGUGAAAUGUUGGGUUAAGUCCCGCAACGAGCGCAACCCUUAUCCUUUGUUGCCAGCGGUCCGGCCGGGAACUCAAAGGAGACUGCCAGUGAUAAACUGGAGGAAGGUGGGGAUGACGUCAAGUCAUCAUGGCCCUUACGACCAGGGCUACACACGUGCUACAAUGGCAUAUACAAAGAGAAGCGACCUCGCGAGAGCAAGCGGACCUCAUAAAGUAUGUCGUAGUCCGGAUUGGAGUCUGCAACUCGACUCCAUGAAGUCGGAAUCGCUAGUAAUCGUAGAUCAGAAUGCUACGGUGAAUACGUUCCCGGGCCUUGUACACACCGCCCGUCACACCAUGGGAGUGGGUUGCAAAAGAAGUAGGUAGCUUAACCUUCGGGAGGGCGCUUACCACUUUGUGAUUCAUGACUGGGGUGAAGUCGUAACAGGGUAACC
rnacentral:rRNA from 1 species